UUACGCGUGGCGCAAUGGUAGCGCACCUCAUUCCUAAUCGGUAUAGAAGCUGACCAGGAAUCUUGAAUCAUGAGGAGGCUGCGGGUUCGAGUCCCGUCGUGUAAG
rnacentral:tRNA from 1 species